rnacentral:lncRNA from 1 species
GGAAUAAGUUCAAGUCUGGUCUGGGAUUAGGAAGUGGUUCGAGCUCAGGUGCAGAUAAUGCAGUAUGCAAGAAGUGUGGGAAGCCGCACAAAGGAGUAUGUCUGGUUGGGACGUCAGCCUGCUUCAGAUGUGGGCAGGAGGGACACAUAGCACGGGAGUGUCCUAGAGCGGCUUUUGUGGCACAGUCUCAGCAGACAGCUUCUAGUAGUGUGGCUCAGCCAGUAGCUCCAGCCGCGACUUAGGCUAGUGGC